rnacentral:rRNA from 1 species
CGCGGCGAUGGUUCAUUCAAAUUUCUGCCCUUAUCAACUUUCGAUGGUAUGGUCUUGGCUACCAUGGUUUCAACGGGUACGGGGAAUUAGGGUUCUAUUCCGGAGAGGGAGCUGAGAAACGGUACCACAUCCAAGGAAGGCAGCAGGCGCGCAAAUUACCCAAUCCCGACACGGGGAGGUAGUGACAAUAAAUACUGAUACAGGGCUCUUUUGGGUCUUGUAAUUGGAAUGAGUACAAUUUAAAUCCCUUAACGAGGAACAAUUGGAGGGCAAGUCUGGUGCCAGCAGCCGCGGUAAUUCCAGCUCCAAUAGCGUAUAUUAAAGUUGUUGCAGUUAAAAAGCUCGUAGUUGAACCUUGGCCUGGUUGGUCGGUCCGGCCUCACCGGUGGCACUUGAU